UUUGUUAAACAAUUUUCCUAUUUGACACUGUAAAACUGCUUUAACACAAUCAUAUUGUAUAAAGUACUAUACAAAUAAAGGUGACUUGACUUGACUUGACUUGACAUGAGUUCAUGUGUAGGUCUAGUGAGGAAUGAUUUGGCCAAAAAAACAUUUCAUUCUUAAAAAAAAAAAAAAGGUUUCUCACUUGAUAAUCAACAUAUCUUUUUCUUCUAAAGAACCCAUGUUGUAAUCGGUAAAUGUAAUAGAAUGCUGACAGAAGGAUUAAAAAGAGGAAGAUUCACUUCCACUAGGUGCCAAAAGUAUGCUCGGGUGUGAUGAAAUAAACCUCUUAACCCACCUGAUAUUUCAUGUAUUUCGUCGUAAAAGUAAAACCACAAGUUGGUGUCUGCAGUCACAGAGUAUAAUGGAAACAGGGGUAAAGAUCUUGUCACUCCUCCCCUACAUACCUACAACUCACCUCCCAUUUGCUAACUUCAGAACAGAAAAGACCGAACCAGAGAACAGUAAUACAUACAUUGCUGCAGAGCCCAAGGCAGAAAGAAAAUUACCAUCAAAAUCCAAUAAUCAGACAAAUGGAUCCCAGCCAGUCUUUCAGUCACACCCGGCCAUAUCCAGGACAGUCCGUCAUCGGUGUGCAGCCUGCAGUUUUUGUGACCCCCAAUCCACCGGCCAGUCUAGUGCCAGAUCACUUGGCCUACUCUAUCUUUACCAUGCUGUGCUGCUGUUUACCUCUGGGCAUUGCUGCACUGGUUUUCUCCUGCUCUACUCGAGAUGCCAUCUACUCAGGACAGCAAGAAUUAGCAAAGAAGAACUCCAGAACAGCGCUCAUGCUGAAUCACAUCGGCCUUGGGAUUGGCAUGGUUAUUAUUGUAUUGGUUAUUAUCAUCCAUAUGGCGAAAUAAAGAUAAAAGCUGUUAGAGCUGACUAGGCUGGAUGCAGAUUACAAACAGAUUUGUUUGUCUUUAUUUUAAAUGUUACUUGCUCAAUUUAUCAUUAUUCUCAUGCUUUAAGGCUGAUUAUUCUCCUUAAAGCAGGAGAAUAAUGAUAAAUUGAGCAAGUAACAUUUAAAAUAAAGACAAACCAAUCUGUUUGUAAUCUGCAUCCAGCCAUGUCAGCUCUAACAGCUUUUCUCUUUAUUUCGCCAUAUGGUUGAUAAUAACCAAUACAAUAAUAACCAUGCCAAUCCCAAGGCCGAUGUGAUUCAGCAUGAGCGCUGUUCUGGAGUUCUUCUUUGCUAAUUCUUGCUGUCCUGAGUAGAUG
ensembl:lncRNA